GAUGAUUUUGGAUCCGACUGAGUGGCGAACUGGUGAGUAACACGUGGGUAACCUGCCCAGAAGAAGGGGAUAACACCUGGAAACAGAUGCUAAUACCGUAUAACAACAAGAACCACAUGGUUCUUGUUUGAAAGCUGGCCUUUGUGCUAGUGCUUCUGGAUGGACCCGCGGCGUAUUAGCUAGUUGGUGAGAUAAUAGCUCACCAAGGCAAUGAUACGUAGCAGACCUGAGAGGGUAAUCUGCCACAAUGGGACUGAGACACGGCCCAUACUCCUACGGGAGGCAGCAGUAGGGAAUCUUCCACAAUGGACGAAAGUCUGAUGGAGCAACGCCGCGUGAGUGAAGAAGGGUUUCGGCUCGUAAAACUCUGUUGUUAGAGAAGAACAGCCGUGAGAGCAACUGCUCACGGUAUGACGGUAUCUAACCAGAAAGUCACGGCUAACUACGUGCCAGCAGCCGCGGUAAUACGUAGGUGGCAAACGUUGUCCGGAUUUAUUGGGCGUAAAGGGAGCGCAGGCGGUUUAUUAAGUCUGAUGUGAAAGCCUUCGGCUUAACCGGAGAAGUGCAUCGGAAACUGAUAAACUUGAGUGCAGAAAAGGAUAGUGGAACUUCAUGUGUAGCGGUGAAAUGCGUAGAUAUAUGAAGGAACACCAGUGGCGAAGGCGGCUAUCUGGUCUGUAACUGACGCUGAGGCUCGAAAGCAUGGGUAGCAAACAGGAUUAGAUACCCUGGUAGUCCAUGCCGUAACGAUGAAUGCUAGGUGUUGGAAGGUUUCCGCCUUUCAGUGCCGCAGCUAACGCAUUAAGCAUUCCGCCUGGGGAGUACGACCGCAGGUUGAACUCAAAGGAUUGACGGGGACCCGCACAAGCGGUGGAGCAUGUGGUUUAAUUCGAUGCUACGCGAAGAACCUUACCAGGACUUGACAUCUUCUGCCAAUCUAGAGA
rnacentral:rRNA from 2 species